rnacentral:rRNA from 1 species
AGAGUUUGAUCCUGGCUCAGGAUGAACGCUAGCGACAGGCCUAACACAUGCAAGUCGAGGGGCAACAUGGUAUCAGCUUGCUGAUACCGAUGGCGACCGGCGCACGGGUGAGUAACGCGUAUGUAAUCUACCUGUAACAGAGGGAUAACCCGGAGAAAUCCGGACUAAUACCUCAUAGCACAUAUUAUUCGCAUGAAUUUUAUGUUAAAGAGACUCGGUUACAGAUGAACAUGCGUUCCAUUAGCUGGUUGGCGGGGUAACGGCCCACCAAGACAACGAUGGAUAGGGGUUCUGAGAGGAAGGUCCCCCACACUGGUACUGAGACACGGACCAGACUCCUACGGGAGGCAGCAGUGAGGAAUAUUGGUCAAUGGGCGGAAGCCUGAACCAGCCAAGUCGCGUGGAGGAAGACGGCCCUACGGGUUGUAAACUCCUUUUACCUGGGAAUAACGGGCGCUACGCGUAGCGCUGUGCAAGUACCGGGAGAAUAAGCAUCGGCUAAUUCCGUGCCAGCAGCCGCGGUAAUACGGAAGAUGCGAGCGUUAUCCGGAUUUAUUGGGUUUAAAGGGAGCGUAGGCGGGCUUUUAAGUCAGCGGUCAAAUGCCACGGCUCAACCGUGGCCAGCCGUUGAAACUGUAAGCCUUGAGUCUGCACAGGGCACAUGGAAUUCGUGGUGUAGCGGUGAAAUGCUUAGAUAUCACGAAGAACUCCGAUCGCGAAGGCAUUGUGCCGGGGCAGCACUGACGCUGAGGCUCGAAAGUGCGGGUAUCAAACAGGAUUAGAUACCCUGGUAGUCCGCACGGUAAACGAUGAAUGCUCGCUAUGGGCGAUAUAUUGUCCGUGGCCAAGCGAAAGCGUUAAGCAUUCCACCUGGGGAGUACGCCGGCAACGGUGAAACUCAAAGGAAUUGACGGGGGCCCGCACAAGCGGAGGAACAUGU